CACCAGGAGCUCCUGAAGAGGCUGCAGACAGCACCUUUUUCACAGCCUCAGAAGAAACCAACCCUGCCAAUGCCCUGACCUUGGACGUGCAGCCUCCAGGACUGUGGGAUGAUGCGUUUCUGCUAUUCACGUCACUCUGUUAGUGGGACUUUGCUACAGCAGCCCCAAUAAACUAACACAAGGUUAUUGUGAGUUUAUAGGCUGAUAAAUGUAAAAAACAGCAACAACGAAAAUCCUUUAAAGCAUGCCAGGAGCAAUAAAGAUGUUCUAAUUUAGAUAUUCAAGUAACUGAAUGGCUUUUGUGGCAUUUCAACUUGACAUACCAGCAACAUUAGACCCUGGAACAACAUGGAUUUGAAAUAUACAGGUCAACCUACAUGUGGACUUUCUUCUGCCUCUGCCACCCCUAAGGCAGCAAGACCAACCUCUCUCCUUCCUCCUCCUCCUCGGCCCACUCAAUGUGAAGACCACAAGGGUGAAGACCU